rnacentral:rRNA from 1 species
GCAUAUCAAUAAGCGGAGGAAAAGAAACCCAACAGGGAUUGCCCCAGUAACGGCGAAGUGAAGCGGCAAGAGCUCAAAUUUGAAAAGCUGGCUCCUUCGGGGUCCGCAUUGUAAUUUGUAGAGGAUGCUUCGGGAGCGGUCCCCAUCUAAGUGCCCUGGAACGGGACGUCAUAGAGGGUGAGAAUCCCGUAUGGGAUGGGGUGUCCGCGCCCGUGUGAAGCUCCUUCGACGAGUCGAGUUGUUUGGGAAUGCAGCUCUAAAUGGGUGGUAAAUUUCAUCUAAAGCUAAAUAUUGGCCGGAGACCGAUAGCGCACAAGUAGAGUGAUCGAAAGAUGAAAAGCACUUUGAAAAGAGAGUUAAAAAGCACGUGAAAUUGUUGAAAGGGAAGCGCUUGCGACCAGACUCGCUCGCGGGGUUCAGCCGGCAUUCGUGCCGGUGUACUUCCCCGCGGGCGGGCCAGCGUCGGUUUGGGCGGUCGGUCAAAGGCCCUCGGAAGGUAACGCCCCUAGGGGCGUCUUAUAGCCGAGGGUGCAAUGCGACCUGCCUAGACCGAGGAACGCGCUUCGGCUCGGACGCUGGCAUAAUGGUCGUAAACGACCCGUCUUGAAACACGGACCAAGGAGUCUAACAUCUACGCGAGUGUUCGGGUGUCAAACCCGUGCGCGAAGUGAAAGCGAACGGAGGUGGGAACCCUCACGGGUGCACCAUCGACCGAUCCUGAAGUCUUCGGAUGGAUUUGAGUAAGAGCGUAGCUGUUGGGACCCGAAAGAUGGUGAACUAUGCCUGAAUAGGGCGAAGCCAGAGGAAACUCUGGUGGAGGCUCGUAGCGGUUUCUGACGUGCAAAUCGAUCGUCGAAUUUGGGUAAUAGGGGCGAAAGACUAAUCGAACCAUCUGGUAGCUGGUUCUGCGA